rnacentral:rRNA from 1 species
UAUGUGAUCGUCUCUCGCAUAUCAAUAAGCGGAGGAAAAGAAACUAACAAGGAUUCCCUUAGUAACGGCGAGUGAAGCGGGAAGAGCUCAAAUUUGAAAUCUUCAAGGUUUUACCUUGACGAAUUGUAGUUUAAAGAAGUGUUUUCUGUUGAAGUUUUGGUAAAAGUUCUUUGGAAUAGGACAUCAUAGAGGGUGAGAAUCCCGUAUUUGACCAUUAUUUUCAGCUGUGUGAUACACUUUCAAAGAGUCGGAUUGUUUGGGAAUGCAGUCCAAAAUGGGUGGUAAAUUUCAUCUAAAGCUAAAUAUUGGCGAGAGACCGAUAGCGAACAAGUACCGUGAGGGAAAGAUGAAAAGAACUUUGAAAAGAGAGUUAAACAGUACGUGAAAUUGUCAAAAGGGAAGCGUUUGACACCAGUGUUGUUUUCUCGAAAAUCAAUUAAAAAGAGUUUAGAUUUUGUUGUGUAUUGACCUUAACAGCUUGCAUUUCAAUUUUCUUGCUUUUUUUAAUGCACUUUUCGUUUAACAAGUCAACAUCAGUUUCUUUUGUUGUAAAAAGGUCAUUGGAAGGUGGCUUUCUUUUCGGAGAAAGUGUUUAUAGCCUUUGACUCCUGCAAUCGGAGAGACUGAGGUCUGCAGCGUAGAUCCUUCGGGGUUAGAUACAUUUGUGCUAAGUUAUAGCUUUUUAUAGACAACUUGUUGACUAUAAUUAGUCUUGUAGCUUACUCGCUUAUGCUAUUUUACCUACGCUUAGGAUGUUGAAGAUGUAGCACAUCAU